GCUUUUUCCAAAAUCAAACUUUAUGACAAACGUUAUUACUAAAAUCCAUGUCAGAACCCUAUCUUGGAAAUGUCCACAAACAUAUAAAAGUGCUGACCAGAUUUCAGCUUAGCUUCGACACAUUAAAAGCUGUUUACACAAAGAAAGACUCAGUGACGAUGAUUCCAGGAUGCAAAACAACAUUAGCAAUACAAAAUCAAAAGUUAGUGGUAUAAAAAGACCCAAGUGAUAAAUGUUUCCCCCAGCUGCAGUAUUUUCAGAGUAGUUUUCGUCUUAACCCUUUGUAAAACUCUGAAAAAGGCCAUAUAUAUAUAUUCACAUUUUGAUGUCCCUUCAUAUGUGGGACAACCUUGUGUCUGCAUUCACAGAAGCAAGGCUGCUGACGCCAUGUUUCAUGUUUUCAGACAGAAGAAGAUGAAAACUGUUUUUGACGACACUUUGGUGUCCAGGUAGGGAUUAUUUACAGACAAUGGUAGUGCCUCAUGACUGUCACAAAAAAUGUCAUGAGUUUUACUUCAAACCUUGAAGAAUUAUAAAGUGUAUUACAUACACCUCUCAGCCACAGUGCUAAUCCAAAUGUGCUUAUUUACAAAGAAAAGCAAAUGUGGUAAAGCUUCAGCUUUCACCUUAACCAGUCUACCCCAGAGGCAGUUACAGAAGAUACAUUACCUUUUAAAGCAACGUGAUGUAAGAAAAGAGCAAAUUUUACAAGGAAAUCACAGUUGUCAGUCGUCCAGAGAUGCUUUCAUUUCAUACAUCUUCAUGACUGUUGCAAUUGUAAGUGUUGCAAUAACAGGUUAAGCUUGGUAAACUGGCUGUAGUAAAUUCAUCUGUAUUAACAUCCUGUAAAUUAUGGCACAUACAGUAUAUAGUAUAAAGCUCAGUUGUUAAAUAAUGAAACCUGGAGACUGAAAAAUGGAUCUUAGAGUGUAUAAAGUGCAGUGAUUGGGCUCAGGGUAGUCCAGCCCGGCUUUAAGCACCUGCGAAUCCGACCUAACUUUUUUAUGCUUUAAAAAAUUUGUCUUGUUGACAUUUUAGUGUCAGCAAGAAAUUUUUAUUCGGGUGUAAUUUUAUCAAAAAGAGUUUCAGUUUUACUGAUCACAUUUAAACACACUGCGUAUUGUUGGAACACUUGCAGUCCCUUUUCAAAAGCACAUUCCAUUAGUGGAAAUACAGGAUGCAACUUGCAGGCAAACAAAU
ensembl:lncRNA